rnacentral:lncRNA from 1 species
ACCAAACUUGGAAUUAAUUAAAGUUUAGAACAACGUACAUAGUCCUAUUCAAAAGAUCGAAGAUUGCAAAAGCAAGCCCGACCCUAGAAAUUGAAAGUUGGGAAUCUGACAAGAAGAAGCAGCAAGCGAAUGGUGAUGGAGGCAUGGGAUGGAGUCGGCGGCGUCGCACACGAAAUGGAGGAAGAGUAGUAUCAGGAUGUUUAUGGGCGGCACCAAUUGAUGCUGUCGGGAUGCCGCAAGCGUCGGAGGGGACGAAGUGGCGUUUGGAUGGGGUUGGAGACAUGGGAAGGAGGCGGCGACAAUCUGGCUGCUGGUGGAGAACACAAUGAAGGAGCAGGACUAGAAGAGUAUCGGGGUGGACCAAUUAAAUUAAAAGAUCGAAUACAAAAUAAAAGAGAGUUUUAAAUACCUAUAAUACCCCUCCAGUGGUCGUUGUCCAAUCAGAGGAAGCCAACGCUGAAUGGAUUCCAUUGAAAGCAUACCCUAAAACCAGAAUAAUAAACUAAAUCCCCCAUUCAAAAAUAUCUAACAAACCCGUCUAUGGCCAGCCACCGAACCUGAGGACGUGUACCAAUAAAAAUAAAAAUAAAGAUGAUAAAAGCGAAGCCAAGUGGUCCCCUCGAAAUUAAAAUAUCACGUGUCCUCACGAUAUUUGCCACGUUAUCCCCAAAAAAGUUGGUUAUCACUCAAUCCCAUUUAUAUAUUACGGUAAAAUGGUAAAUAAAACCACCAUACUCCCCCAAAUAAGAAACAUAACAGAACUCAGAACAAAAUACAAAGCCCACUGACCUUUCCUCUUUCGGCUCUUGCUUCCUCCAUCGACCAAUAAGUGGCCGGCGCCGCCGAAUUUAU